GACGUCUCCCUCCCACCUCAGGCGUGAAACCCAAAUCAUAGGAGCAUAGGAGCACCGCGAGGCCCAAAGCUCAUCCGUGGAUGAAACCUCAGGCGUCUUCCUCCCAUUUCUCACCGUUCGACCCCUUCUCUUCAGCAAACCCUAAUCCAAAGAGGAACAGAGAAACCCAUUGGAUUUACGGAAACGACGAAUUCGGCUCCAACAUCGAAGAUCAACCUUGAAUACGAGUGGAGUCAGUGUUGCAUCCGCGUCUUCACGAUCUGAAGAAGAACAGGAUCAAGUGAGUUUAGUAGGAUACGCAUUACAAGUUCGUCGCCAUGUCGUCGGGGAAAAGGAACAACAAGGAGAAGAUGAUGCGGCGCAAUUGAUUUCAGCAAUGGAUUGACAUGGACACCCUGCGCAGCUUCCAACAAAAUUUAUUGCAAAACAAUCAGUGAUGAUGGAUUGAAGCUCCUCCAGUCGCACAUGAAGACAUUAGCAGGGAAAAUGAUCAUCAUGUUUUCUUUUAGACACUAGCAACUCCAGCUGCGUAUGAAGAAAAGGUCAUCAGAUAUGUUCAAUCAAGCAGCCAACUCUUGCUACCUGACUGGAAAUUUUGGCCUUUACGAUGUUUUCUCCCUUGAGAAAAGAUGCCGUGACAUGAUCAGAUUUUGUAAUAUGAAAGAGGAAAAAGCAGACUAUAAAAGACCAUCAAAAAUAAUAAACAGGGAUUUGAAUGUUCCUAAUUUAACUAGAGCUAUUGCUUGAUGAUAAAGAUCAAUGUAUCCGAUUCUGAC